rnacentral:rRNA from 1 species
GGGUUGUGAGGUUAAGCGACUAAGCGUACACGGUGGAUGCCCUGGCAGUCAGAGGCGAUGAAGGACGUGCUAAUCUGCGAUAAGCGUCGGUAAGGUGAUAUGAACCGUUAUAACCGGCGAUUUCCGAAUGGGGAAACCCAGUGUGAUUCGUCACACUAUCAUUAACUGAAUCCAUAGGUUAAUGAGGCGAACCGGGGGAACUGAAACAUCUAAGUACCCCGAGGAAAAGAAAUCAACCGAGAUUCCCCCAGUAGCGGCGAGCGAACGGGGAGCAGCCCAGAGCCUGAAUCAGUGUGUGUGUUAGUGGAAGCGUCUGGAAAGGCGUGCGAUACAGGGUGACAGCCCCGUACACAAAAAUGCACAUGCUGUGAGCUCGAUGAGUAGGGCGGGACACGUGGUAUCCUGUCUGAAUAUGGGGGGACCAUCCUCCAAGGCUAAAUACUCCUGACUGACCGAUAGUGAACCAGUACCGUGAGGGAAAGGCGAAAAGAACCCCGGCGAGGGGAGUGAAAAAGAACCUGAAACCGUGUACGUACAAGCAGUGGGAGCACGCUUAGGCGUGUGACUGCGUACCUUUUGUAUAAUGGGUCAGCGACUUAUAUUCUGUAGCAAGGUUAACCGAAUAGGGGAGCCGAAGGGAAACCGAGUCUUAACUGGGCGUUAAGUUGCAGGGUAUAGACCCGAAACCCGGUGAUCUAGCCAUGGGCAGGUUGAAGGUUGGGUAACACUAACUGGAGGACCGAACCGACUAAUGUUGAAAAAUUAGCGGAUGACUUGUGGCUGGGGGUGAAAGGCCAAUCAAACCGGGAGAUAGCUGGUUCUCCCCGAAAGCUAUUUAGGUAGCGCCUCGUGAAUUCAUCUCCGGGGGUAGAGCACUGUUUCGGCAAGGGGGUCAUCCCGACUUACCAACCCGAUGCAAACUGCGAAUACCGGAGAAUGUUAUCACGGGAGACACACGGCGGGUGCUAACGUCCGUCGUGAAGAGGGAAACAACCCAGACCGCCAGCUAAGGUCCCAAAGUCAUGGUUAAGUGGGAAACGAUGUGGGAAGGCCCAGACAGCCAGGAUGUUGGCUUAGAAGCAGCCAUCAUUUAAAGAAAGCGUAAUAGCUCACUGGUCGAGUCGGCCUGCGCGGAAGAUGUAACGGGGCUAAACCAUGCACCGAAGCUGCGGCAGCGACACUAUGUGUUGUUGGGUAGGGGAGCGUUCUGUAAGCCUGUGAAGGUGUACUGUGAGGUAUGCUGGAGGUAUCAGAAGUGCGAAUGCUGACAUAAGUAACGAUAAAGCGGGUGAAAAGCCCGCUCGCCGGAAGACCAAGGGUUCCUGUCCAACGUUAAUCGGGGCAGGGUGAGUCGACCCCUAAGGCGAGGCCGAAAGGCGUAGUCGAUGGGAAACAGGUUAAUAUUCCUGUACUUGGUGUUACUGCGAAGGGGGGACGGAGAAGGCUAUGUUGGCCGGGCGACGGUUGUCCCGGUUUAAGCGUGUAGGCUGGUUUUCCAGGCAAAUCCGGAAAAUCAAGGCUGAGGCGUGAUGACGAGGCACUACGGUGCUGAAGCAACAAAUGCCCUGCUUCCAGGAAAAGCCUCUAAGCAUCAGGUAACAUCAAAUCGUACCCCAAACCGACACAGGUGGUCAGGUAGAGAAUACCAAGGCGCUUGAGAGAACUCGGGUGAAGGAACUAGGCAAAAUGGUGCCGUAACUUCGGGAGAAGGCACGCUGAUAUGUAGGUGAAGUCCCUCGCGGAUGGAGCUGAAAUCAGUCGAAGAUACCAGCUGGCUGCAACUGUUUAUUAAAAACACAGCACUGUGCAAACACGAAAGUGGACGUAUACGGUGUGACGCCUGCCCGGUGCCGGAAGGUUAAUUGAUGGGGUCAGCGCAAGCGAAGCUCUUGAUCGAAGCCCCGGUAAACGGCGGCCGUAACUAUAACGGUCCUAAGGUAGCGAAAUUCCUUGUCGGGUAAGUUCCGACCUGCACGAAUGGCGUAAUGAUGGCCAGGCUGUCUCCACCCGAGACUCAGUGAAAUUGAACUCGCUGUGAAGAUGCAGUGUACCCGCGGCAAGACGGAAAGACCCCGUGAACCUUUACUAUAGCUUGACACUGAACAUUGAGCCUUGAUGUGUAGGAUAGGUGGGAGGCUUUGAAGUGUGGACGCCAGUCUGCAUGGAGCCGACCUUGAAAUACCACCCUUUAAUGUUUGAUGUUCUAACGUUGACCCGUAAUCCGGGUUGCGGACAGUGUCUGGUGGGUAGUUUGACUGGGGCGGUCUCCUCCUAAAGAGUAACGGAGGAGCACGAAGGUUGGCUAAUCCUGGUCGGACAUCAGGAGGUUAGUGCAAUGGCAUAAGCCAGCUUGACUGCGAGCGUGACGGCGCGAGCAGGUGCGAAAGCAGGUCAUAGUGAUCCGGUGGUUCUGAAUGGAAGGGCCAUCGCUCAACGGAUAAAAGGUACUCCGGGGAUAACAGGCUGAUACCGCCCAAGAGUUCAUAUCGACGGCGGUGUUUGGCACCUCGAUGUCGGCUCAUCACAUCCUGGGGCUGAAGUAGGUCCCAAGGGUAUGGCUGUUCGCCAUUUAAAGUGGUACGCGAGCUGGGUUUAGAACGUCGUGAGACAGUUCGGUCCCUAUCUGCCGUGGGCGCUGGAGAACUGAGGGGGGCUGCUCCUAGUACGAGAGGACCGGAGUGGACGCAUCACUGGUGUUCGGGUUGUCAUGCCAAUGGCACUGCCCGGUAGCUAAAUGCGGAAGAGAUAAGUGCUGAAAGCAUCUAAGCACGAAACUUGCCCCGAGAUGAGUUCUCCCUGACUCCUUGAGAGUCCUGAAGGAACGUUGAAGACGACGACGUUGAUAGGCCGG